rnacentral:rRNA from 1 species
GAUGGACGCUGGCGGCGUGCCUAAUACAUGCAAGUCGAGCGAACGGACGAGAAGCUUGCUUCUCUGAUGUUAGCGGCGGACGGGUGAGUAACACGUGGAUAACCUACCUAUAAGACUGGGAUAACUUCGGGAAACCGGAGCUAAUACCGGAUAAUAUUUUGAACCGCAUGGUUCAAAAGUGAAAGACGGUCUUGCUGUCACUUAUAGAUGGAUCCGCGCUGCAUUAGCUAGUUGGUAAGGUAAAGGGUUACCAAGGCAACGAGGCAUAGCCGACCGGGGAGGGUGAUAGGCCGCACGGGAACGUAGCCGCGGUCAAGGGGCCUGAGGGAGGGAGCAGAAGGGAACGGUCGGCAGUGGGCGAAAGCCUUGCGGAGUGACGCCACGCGUGUCAUGGAGGUGCUGGGUUCGGAAAGCUCUGUUUUGAGGGGUAAACAUAUGUGUAAGGAGAUGAGCAGAAAUUGACGGUACCUGAACAGAAAGCCACGGCUAACUACGUG